UAUUUUUUAAUAUCAGCAGAACUAAUGUCUGAGUACAUUAAUUUAAUAAUUUUUAAUUGAUAUCUGGACAAUAAAUAUGACUGCAAAUAUUUGACAGGGGCGAGUUCAACCAUGGAGUAAAAGAAAAGAACAAAAACUUAAAAGCUGAAUAUUUGAUGUCAAAUCAGAAAACGUUCAUGAAGAAACCAGCACGUACCAAUG
rnacentral:lncRNA from 1 species